rnacentral:rRNA from 1 species
AGUGAACGCUGGCGGCGUGCUUAAUACAUGCAAGUCGAACGAUGAAGCUUCUAGCUUGCUCGCAGUGGAUUAGUGGCGCACGGGUGAGUAAUAUAUAGUUAAUCUGCCUUGCACUGAGGAACAACAGUUGGAAACGAUUGCUAAUACCUCAUACUCCAACUUAGCAUAAGUUACGUUGGGAAAGUCUUUUCGGUGCAAGAUGAGACUAUAUCGUAUCAGCUAGUUGGUAAGGUAAUGGCUUACCAAGGCUAUGACGCGUAACUGGUCUGAGAGGAUGAUCAGUCAAAUUGGAACUGAGACACGGUCCAAACUCCUACGGGAGGCAGCAGUAAGGAAUAUUGGGCAAUGGGGGAAACCCUGACGCAGCAACGCCGCGUGGAGGAUGACACUUUUCGGAGCGUAAACUCCUUUUGUUAGGGAAGAAUAAUGACGGUACCUAACGAAUAAGCACCGGCUAACUCCGUG